AAUUUUUAUACUUAGGGCACCUUGUUAAUUUAGUUUAGUGAUGUUUAUUAAAUUAUACGAAAGUGCCUUAUUUUUUUAGAGUAUUUCAAUGUAAAAUUACAUAUAAGAGCAAAGUAUUUUGGCGAGACUCAUGAGGGAACAGGACAAGCUGAAGACUUAUAUAGGCUGAAGCUGUCUCAUAAGAAAGCGAGCCAACAAUACAAAGUAUUGUAAAUAAAGAAGCCAGUAA
rfam:Staphylococcus epidermidis RP62A, complete genome.